rnacentral:rRNA from 1 species
UUGAUCCUGGCUCAGGACGAACGCUGGCGGCGUGCUUAACACAUGCAAGUCGAACGAUGAAGCUUAGCUUGCUAGGUGGAUUAGUGGCGAACGGGUGAGUAACACGUAGGUAAUCUGCCCUGCACUUUGGGAUAAGCCUGGGAAACUGGGUCUAAUACCGAAUAGGACACACUAUCUUUACGGUGGUGUGUGGAAAGCUUUUGCGGUGUGGGAUGAGCCUGCGGCCUAUCAGCUUGUUGGUGGGGUAAUGGCCUACCAAGGCGUCGACGGGUAGCCGGCCUGAGAGGGUGAUCGGCCACAUUGGGACUGAGACACGGCCCAGACUCCUACGGGAGGCAGCAGUGGGGAAUAUUGCACAAUGGGCGAAAGCCUGAUGCAGCGACGCCGCGUGGGGGAUGAAGGCCUUCGGGUUGUAAACUCCUUUCGCUAGGGACGAAGAGUUACAUUGACGGUACCUGGAGAAGAAGCACCGGCUAACUACGUGCCAGCAGCCGCGGUAAU